GAUGGACUCGAAAUCCAUUGGGGUCUCCCCGCGCAGGUUCGAGUCCUGCCAGCAACG
rnacentral:tRNA from 1 species